AGAGAUUUCUCAGAAGAUUGACCGAGGUUGAAGAUGCAGCCAAGAGCACACGUUCUAAAAUAAAGAAUCUGGCCUAGUCUGCUGCAGCUUCACACUUGCUAGUGACAUCUUUCUUGUAAAUGUACUGUGACACUGCCACUAUGACUGAAUGGCCAUGUUUCCCAAGGCUGCUUCCAGACUGGCUGUCUCGAGAAGCAGGCUGAAUUCUGCUUCACUCACCUGAGUCUGUCUAGGAAGUACCUGUGGUUUGAUAUAUUGCAUGCAUAAUCUUUCUCUGCACGGAUUCUCCUAGUCUUCCCGUUGGUUUUAUUAAGGAUUACUACUUGUAGGUUUACUUGUUCUCUUUUUUCUUUUUAUG